GACGAACGCUGGCGGCGUGCUUAACACAUGCAAGUCGAACGGAAAGGCCCUGCUUGCCGGGUACUCGAGUGUCGAACGGGUGAGUAACACGUGGGUGAUCUGUGCUGUGCUUCGGGAUAAGCCUGGGAGACUGGGGCUAAUACCGGAUAGGAGCCAUCUUUAGUGUGAUGGUUGGAGAGUUUUUUCGGGGUAGGAUGAGCUCGCGGCCUAUCAGCUUGUUGGUGGGGUAAUGGCCUACCAAGGCGGCGACGGGUAGCCGGCCUGAGAGGGUGGACGGCCACAUUGGGACUGAGAUACGGCCCAGACUCCUACGGGAGGCAGCAGUGGGGAAUAUUGCACAAUGGGCGCAAGCCUGAUGCAGCGACGCCGCGUGGGGGAUGACGGCCUUCGGGUUGUAAACUCCUUUCGCUAGGGACGAAGCUUUUUGUGACGGUACCUAGAUAAGAAGCACCGGCUAACUACGUG
rnacentral:rRNA from 1 species